CUCACGUGCCAGACCGCGGUGCCCGUGCAGCGUCGACACACGUCGGACCUCGAAGCUGAGGUGUCCUCACAGGCCUUUAGCUCCGGGAACUCUGGUCUGAAACUCCAGGUACAAGGCUUCUGCACACAGCACCCUGUGAGCAAGUGAAACUAGACUAAGCGCAAAGGAAAAGAAAAGAGGGUCCUUCGUGGGAAGAGAAGAGUCGUCCUUGAGGACAGGAGUCCUUGAAUUUGGCCUCAGAGUCAUUUUGGAGAAUUAGUUAAAAGCACUGCCCGAUUUCCUCUCUGGAUAUUUUGAUGCAGCUGGACUCAGGAGGUGCUUGGAAGGUAGCGCUGUUGGCUCAUUUUGAAAAAAGCCUGAGCGUGGCUGUCAGACCCUGCCUGGGACUUGGACCCACCUUGAGUGAAACAUCCUCACUCUCGACCUCAGGAACUCCCAGCGGCG